AUACUAUAAAAAUGGGCCAAUGGGCGUUCAAGAAGGCCCAUGGCCUAGGCUGGUGACCUCCAUUGCACUUUGGAGGGGUGCCCGCCUAAGGUUGGCACAAGUGGUUGAACCUACGUCAUAAUUUGUGGCAGCGGGGGCCUGCUUUUGUGCGGCCCCUAC
rfam:Capsicum annuum cultivar Zunla-1 chromosome 5, whole genome shotgun sequence